rnacentral:rRNA from 1 species
AUGCUUAGGAAUCUGCCUAUUAGUGGGGGACAACAUCUCGAAAGGGAUGCUAAUACCGCAUACGUCCUACGGGAGAAAGCAGGGGAUCUUCGGACCUUGCGCUAAUAGAUGAGCCUAAGUCGGAUUAGCUAGUUGGUGGGGUAAAGGCCUACCAAGGCGACGAUCUGUAGCGGGUCUGAGAGGAUGAUCCGCCACACUGGGACUGAGACACGGCCCAGACUCCUACGGGAGGCAGCAGUGGGGAAUAUUGGACAAUGGGGGGAACCCUGAUCCAGCCAUGCCGCGUGUGUGAAGAAGGCCUUAUGGUUGUAAAGCACUUUAAGCGAGGAGGAGGCUACUUUAGUUAAUACCUAGAGAUAGUGGACGUUACUCGCAGAAUAAGCACCGGCUAACUCUGUGCCAGCAGCCGCGGUAAUACAGAGGGUGCGAGCGUUAAUCGGAUUUACUGGGCGUAAAGCGUGCGUAGGCGGCUUAUUAAGUCGGAUGUGAAAUCCCCGAGCUUAACUUGGGAAUUGCAUUCGAUACUGGUGAGCUAGAGUAUGGGAGAGGAUGGUAGAAUUCCAGGUGUAGCGGUGAAAUGCGUAGAGAUCUGGAGG